rnacentral:lncRNA from 1 species
UCCUUUUGGGUUUUGUAUUUUCAUAGUUUAUGAUUUGAAUAUUGUAAUUGUUACAAGCUUUAUUCUUGCUUCUUUGAAUGUAAAUUUUGUUAGAAAAUUUGCCAUCUCAAAUGUUGUAGAUGUAGUUCAUAUGAGCAUGAAAUUUUGGAGCUAAAAUUUGGUGCCAUGUUUUUGGGGAAAUUUGGCCAAAUCCAAAGGGUGGAUUUUUGGGUUCUUGUUUGUCUUGUUAAAAGUGUUUUAAGGUGACUUUUGG